ACAGAUUACACAAUCAAUUUCGAAAUCAUCGCUCAAAAAACGGGAGCGGCUUUAUCAUAAUCAGCCUCCGGACUCUGAGUCUCAUUCAUAAUCAGCCUCCGGACUCUGUCAGCAUUGAAUGAGAUUCAGCAUUGACAAAAUUCAAAGCCGCUCCCGUUUUUUGAGCGAUGAUUUCGGAAUUGAUUGUGUAAUCUGUGUAGUAUGUUCAUGAUCAUGGCUCUCCGUUCAUUUUGAGGAUGAAUUUUUUUAAUUUCGUUUCCAAAUGCAAAGACAUUUUUCAUUUAACAUUUAUGCAAAUAUAUAUGAAAUGUGAAUGCAUCGCACAGUGCCAUCUUGCCUGAACGCACAAUGCCAUCUAAAAAUAGGUUUCUCACACAUAGUGCCUUCUUAAUUUCCCCAACCCCAUAGUGCCUUCUAAAAAUAUAUCACCACAUGGAGUUUUUCUGACCGCAUGGAGCUUUUCUAAAAAUAGAUGACCGCACACAAAUUAUUAUUCUGACCGCAUGGAGCUUCUUUAAUCUGACCGCAUAACACAUUCUAAAAAAUAGAUGAGAACAUGUCUUGUAAUUUUUUCUGACCACAUAGUAUUAUCUAAUAGAUGACCAUACAAAUUCUUCUAAUUAUUUCUCACCGCACAAUGCUUUCUAUUUUCUCUAACCGCAUAGUGUCUUCUAAUAAUAGACCAUUUUUCCACUAUAAAUAUGUCUACUCGUCACUGUAUCUCGUCACUUCAUCAUAUCUCUUUUGCUGGUGCUCCUUUGCGCUCCUUGUGCUCCUUUUCCUUGUUUUGAAAAUUUCACUGUUGAAGGUAUGGCUGCAUGCUCGGAAUGCUCCCAACCCAGAAACUUGUGCACCCGACCAUCUAGAUAUUGUACAGAGUUUUCUGUCAAGAUGUUGCCAGAAGAUUUCGAACAAUAUUCUAUUCUCCCUUGCUGUUACUAUACAAGGAUUAAAUUUUUAUGCCCAUCAAAAAUCAUGAAAGUUGUAGGUAGACCAACUCCCCACUUGGAGGCACCUGAUGAUGACUUCACAACACAUCAUCUAUUAUUGGAAGAUUGCGAUACAUACUUUUCAAUAGAUGGACCAUAUUAUUUGUCCUUGUUAGAAGCAUUUCGUAUCACUGCUGGAGAUACAAUAAAGUUUUCAUAUGAUGAAGAUGAAGACAUCUUUAAUGUCUCCGUUCAUGUUGGAAUAGAUCAACCAAAAUAUUGGUUUGGAUUCCAUGAAUGCUGAUUGUGAAGAAGCGUUCUAUAGUACUUAUUUCAUGGAAGCAACGGAUGUUUCCCAAGCAGAAAUGAACAGACUAGUCAUUCGUUAUAGGGAGUAUAUGAGGAGUCUGAAUUAUCAUAACAAUGAACCUAAUUUCAUUAUUCACAGGCUUGUGAGUAGUGAAUACGCCUGUUGGGUAGUUCCAAUCGAAGCUAUCAAAAAUAAUGUUGUUCUACCAAGGAAGGGUGAUUCUAUUUAUGCAUACAAUCAAUAUUCUGUCCAAGGAACUUACAAAAUAAGAGAUGAUGGCACUAUCAUUUUCCUUGAACACUGGGCUGAUUUACGUGUGGACAAUAGUAUAUUCCCAGGAGACUUAUUCAUUGCCAGGGUGGUGGCAAAUAGAAGUUAUAUAGGACUGGAUAUUCAUAUUAUUUAGGAAGACAAGGAUUUUUUCUAUUUAUAAUAGUAGUUUUUUCUCUACUUUUUUGUAAUAAUUUUUUAUCUUUUUUUAGUGUUGUAUUUCAAGAAGAUUGCUAUUUUUAUUUCUUCAACUUGUAAUAAUUGUUAUUUUUUUACUUU